rnacentral:lncRNA from 1 species
CUCUGUAUGUCUGGUAAUUUUUUUUUCCUUUUUUUUUUUUUAGGAAGAUUAGCCCUGAGCUAACAUCUGCUGCCAACCCUCUUUUUUUUGCUGAGGAAGACUGGCCUUGAGCUAACAUCCAUGCCCAUCUUCUUCUGCUUUAUAUGUGGGACGCCUGCCACAGGAUGACUUGACAAGUGGUGCAUAGGUCCGCACCUGGGAUCCAAACCUGCAAACCCCGGGCUGCUGAAGCGGAACGUGCAAACUUAACUGCUGUGCCACCGGGCCAGUCCCUGUAUGUCUGGACCAGGGUGAUGACGUACUUUGAGCUGACAUCAUCACCAGGAAGUCAGGGAAGGUGACCUUUUAACAGUCCUCGCUUUGCAGACGAAGAGGGGCUUUUCAGAAGCAGCUGCCUUCCUUAGAGAGGCAGAGAGAAAUGCCAACUAAAAGAAAUGCAUAGGAGUCUGGCUGGGGCUUGAAAAAAAUCUGAGCAUUUUCUUCAAGAAAAUUAAAUGAUGCAAAGACUACAUUAAGAUAGUCUGUUGUAUAAUAAAAUUGUUGCAGUCUCAGGAUGAAAUCAGACUGACUAACUGACCUAAAUUGUGUGUCACCUGGUUGAGUGGAUUGAAGGAGAGCUCUGUCCAUUUCCUGAAUUCUCCUUUUCUUUGUUAGAUGAUCAAGCAGAAGUUUUCUGUGCCCUCUCCUGGCUUGACUUUGAAACUGCAUAACAGUGAUACUCCCAACUUCACUGCUUAGGACUUUCCUUAAACAAAUUCCUGCUCUCCCCUCCCUUUUGCCCUAGAAGGGUCAUUUUGGACUAGAGAGAGACAGACGGGGCCAAUUACUUGGCGUGUGGAUAAAAGUGGUCGGAUGAUUCAGGCUCCAGAUGGCCAUUCAGCAAGCUGAAUAGAGAGACUGAACGACCAAUCUUGUGUUCAAAUGGUACAUAUUAUUUUCUAUAUUCAAAAAUUAUGCUAUAAUUGGAGGUAACUCCACGCAAAUGUGUGAAGUAUUCCCUGAGGCAUUGUUGAAUGUGUCACUUUUUAGGAAAAAUAAAUAGAAGAGUGUAGAUUUUGGCAAACUCUGAUAAAAGUAUUCUGAACAUCUCAAAAAUAUCUGUAUUUUUCUUUAGAGGACAAGGAAGGUAAAGGUGACCGUUGAUGAGGUAACAAGGGGAGUGGGGUGUCACAGAAAGCCCCUAGAUGGGCGUCUCGGGGAGGCUGGAGUUGCUGCAGGAUCAUUUCUGAGCCUCCACAAGCACAGACAAGUUCAAAGUGUUGACUCCUGAGGAGUCCUUGCAUCAUUCUCCAGGCCAAAGGGAAUCCAAGCAGACCACUGAAACAUACACGGUGUUUACUUCAUCCGCUUUGGCUGUCACAGUUUUUUGGCUGAAAUAGUAAUCACCCGAGAGCUGCUCUCCACAGCUUCCAGAAGAUCUGUUCAAACAUUGACUCGCUUACCAAACGUUUAUUGUAUCACUUGUUUUUUACAAGGCACCCCCCCCUUAGAAGCCAGCCAAAAGGACGAAGCAGAUACUGGAACGUAUGGUUAUUAGAACGGUGCUUCUGAACCUUUUUCCUGUCAUGGCACACAUAGAAAAUUAUACAAUUUGUAUGUCCUACCAGAGGUAAACUUGGUGGGGGGUGGAUUUAGGGGCAUCUGCAUGGGAUUUGGCUAAAACAAAUAAUUACAUUUUCUAUAAAUUGGAUAAUUAUGAUUUGAAAAAAUAAAAUGAAAGUAUUAGAGACAGAAUUAAAUAUUGAGCUUAUGUAAAAUUGCCAAAUAAAGUGUUUUCAAAAUUUUAGUUUUCUUCUGGGAGUGUUUAUGCUUGAAAGGGCUAUAUGCAAUAAUGACGAGGACUUUUCAAGAAGGAUCUCUUCAAGUUCUGGAUCGCCGUGAACAAUUAGAAACGCAAGUAGUGGACCUCAUUUAAUCCUCAUAAGAACAACCAGUAAGAAUUAUCAUCCCAUUCGACAGAGCAGGAAAUAGGUUCAAAACGAGAAAGGUAUUUUUCCUUCAAAUCUUUCAAGUUUUGAAAAUAUUACUCUGAAUGGAAGAAGAAGCUGCCAAGGGUCUGGUUUUGGGGGCGCAGACCUACCCGGGACAGUGCACGUGGGCAUGAAUGGGAGCCCCUGGCGUGGCUCUCUUUACCAAAGGAGCCAGAGGCCGAAGUCCAGAAAGGGGCGUGUGGACAGAGCAGCCUAGCCUGGGCCCCUCCCCA